CACGUAGGGGACGAGCGUUGUCCGGAAUCAUUGGGCGUAAAGGGCUCGUAGGCGGUUUGUCGCGUCGGGAGUGAAAUCCACUGGCUUAACUGGUGGCUUGCUUUCGAUACGGGCAGACUGGAGGUAUGCAGGGGAGAACGGAAUUCCUGGUGCAGCGGUGAAAUGCGCAGAUAUCAGGAGGAACACCGGUGGCGAAGGCGGUUCUCUGGGCAUGUCCUGACGCUGAGGAGCGAAAGUGUGGGGAGCGAACAGG
rnacentral:rRNA from 1 species